rnacentral:hammerhead_ribozyme from 1 species
GUCCAGCUGAUGAGUCGCAUAUAGGACGAAACGCCCGUUCUGGAU